rnacentral:rRNA from 1 species
AUUGAACGCUGGCGGCAGGCCUAACACAUGCAAGUCGAGCGGAUGAAGGGAGCUGCCCCUGGAUUCAGCGGCGGACGGGUGAGUAAUGGCUAGGAAUCUGCCUGGUAGUGGGGGAUAACGUCCGGAAACGGGCGCUAAUACCGCAUACGUCCUGAGGGAGAAAGUGGGGGAUCUUCGGACCUCACGGUAUCAGAUGAGCCUAGGUCGGAUUAGCUAGUUGGGGGGGUAAAGGCCUACCAAGGCGACGAUCCGUACUGGUCUGAGAGGAUGAUCAGUCACACUGGAACUGAGACACGGUCCAGACUCCUACGGGAGGCAGCAGUGGGGAAUAUUGGACAAUGGGCGAAAGCCUGAUCCAGCCAUGCCGCGUGUGUGAAGAAGGUCUUCGGAUUGUAAAGCACUUUAAGUUGGGAGGAAGGGCAGUAAGUUAAUACCUUGCUGUUUUGACGUUACCAACAGAAUAAGCACCGGCUAACUUCGUG